AGUGAACGCUGGCGGUAGGCCUAACACAUGCAAGUCGAACGGCAGCACAGUAAGAGCUUGCUCUUACGGGUGGCGAGUGGCGGACGGGUGAGGAAUACAUCGGGAUCUACUUUUUCGUGGGGGAUAACGUAGGGAAACUUACGCUAAUACCGCAUACGACCUACGGGUGAAAGCAGGGGAUCUUCGGACCUUGCGCGAUUGAAUGAGCCGAUGUCGGAUUAGCUAGUUGGCGGGGUAAAGGCCCACCAAGGCGACGAUCCGUAGCUGGUCUGAGAGGAUGAUCAGCCACACUGGAACUGAGACACGGUCCAGACUCCUACGGGAGGCAGCAGUGGGGAAUAUUGGACAAUGGGCGCAAGCCUGAUCCAGCCAUACCGCGUGGGUGAAGAAGGCCUUCGGGUUGUAAAGCCCUUUUGUUGGGAAAGAAAAGCAGCAGGUUAAUACCCCGCUGUUCUGACGGUACCCAAAGAAUAAGCACCGGCCAACUUCGUG
rnacentral:rRNA from 1 species